CCUUCGGGUUGUAAAGCUCUUUCGGCGGGGACAAAACCGCCAUCUUGAAUACGGAUGGUGACUGAUGGUACCCGAAGAAGAAGCACCGGCUAACUACGUGC
rnacentral:rRNA from 1 species